UUUUUUUUUUUUUUUUUUUUUUUUUUUUUAGUUCUAAUCUAGAAGCUCAGAAUCAUGCAUCUGAUUUUAAAGUGGAUUAUAUUACUACAUAUUUUGUCCACACCCAUGGCUUUUGUAAACUACAUUAUGAUUGUGUUUAAGAAACGUGCCAUAAAACCCCAUAGGCUUUUCUUCCUGUUGGGGAAGUAGGCCUCGAUGCACGCCAAACUGGAAAAUCAUGUUAUAACCAUCCAUACCAACUUGUCUGAAAUCUAACUUGAGAAAAGGCUAAUUGUAAAUAUCUCCAAAGGAAUUUGGUCCUGAAAGAAUGUGAAAAAAUGGGCAUGAACAGCUGGCCAUGCCCCUUUAGGAAGGCACUCCGUGGCUAGUAUCUAUGUGGAGAGACCAGGAAGAGUCAUAAGGCCCCAGGGAGUUUCCAGGGGUGAUGACAGACCAUCUCCUCCUCUUCCCACAAGAUACAAGUGGGGAUUUCUUCCAUUGCUGAAUAGUCCUGAGGACUUCCCCAGGCUCCUUAAGAGAAGGUACCAAAAUGGAACUCCCCACUGCUGGGGACUCCUGAGGUUCUCUUUACAUUGGAGUUCUUAACCCACACUGCAUUUGAGAAACACUGGGGGACUUUAUAAACUAUAUCCCUGGACUCCAUCCCAGAUCAAUGAAAUCACCCGGCUGGUGAUGAGUGGUAGGGUCCAGGCUUAGGUUGUUUUAGAACCUUCUAGGUGAGGUUCAUGUAUAGUAGUAGAGAACCACUGCUUUAGGCUGUCUGCCUGGUCACCACAAGGGCCCCUGCACCCCCACUCUAUGAUCAGAAAAAUUGGAGCAUAUGAAGAUUUGGGGUUUGGCACUCGUUUUUCUUUCCUAUCCUUCAAUAGCCCUUCUCCAUCCUCUUCCCAUACCCAAUGCUUUUAGGUUCUAUUUCUUUCUGCCUCUCUCCUGUAUCUCCUCUCCUAUAGACAUCAACUCACAAGAAAUUAUCAGGAACCCAUUUAUAUUAAAAUAUAUAAAACUGAUAACCUUAAGUGACCAUUCUAUCAGUGGCACUGUUCCAUUAUUCAUGUAUACUAUAGAUAGAAUACAGUUAAGGGAAUAAGGCUUUAAUAUGCCAUGGACAGUUGGACAGUGGGCUUUGGUGGAGCACCCCAUACCACAUCCUCUACUACACCCAUGCUUUGGAAAAGUAGCAUCUGUUUAGUCAGAAGAUGCCUGCUCCCUUUGCCCUACUGGUCAGGACUCUGAGGGCUUCAUUUGACACAACUGUAUCUUGGUUGGAUGCUCUUGGGAGCAAACUGUACAUAAAAUUAAAGAAGGGGAAACAAAAAAAAAAAAAGUAUGCGUUGACUUCCAGAGAUCUUCUAUAUGACUUGAAAAGUGAUCAGAAAGCAGAAAAAUUCUGUUGUGCCAAGGACCAGCUCUCCUUUCCCUGAAAAAGGAAUAUUUUUGCCCUGAGCAAACAUAAGAGAUGGGAUAUGAUUCCAGUGUAAGAAAUCAAAUAAGUGUUUAGCUGUAUCCUACUUAUCUGUGUGAUAAACAGUCAAAACCAAACUGUAUGUAUCUUGUGUGGUUUGAAUUGAAGCCAAUAGAUCAGCGAGAGUAUGAAGGAUGAGUCAUUUCAUGCUUUCAUGAUGUUUCACUGGAGAAUGGGCACUGCUGCCCAAAUGAUGCAGCUUUAAAACAAACAGCAAAAGCCCCUUGGUCAUCACAACCUCUUUACAUCAAAACUAGUACUGUGUUUACAUCCACUGGGAAAGUCACCACAGAACAAAUAAUGAGACUUUCGCGCAUACAGCAUAGCACUUAUCAGAAGAAACCAAAAAGUCUGUCCUUUCAGAGUAGCUGGCUUCAGAUAUUUAUCUGUUAAAUGCAGCUAAUGUUUGAGCCCAGAUUGCUUAUUAAAUAUCAACUCCAGGAUUUGAAAUGUGACAAGCUAAAUUAGUUAUAAAUGACAUACGAGUAACGUGGAAGACUUAGCUAUGUUGCUGACUCACCCAAACGUUUUGAACCAAAUUUCUGUUAGUAAUGUGUUGUCAGAGAAAGUGAGGGGAAAAGAGAUACAGCAGAGAAAUCUAUAUUCUGUCCUAAAACCUAGUGUGUGACUGAUGAAUGGCUGCCAUGGUCAAGGAUGAGAAGAGAACAAACAAACAAUUGAUACAAAUACAUUAAAUUCACAGAAACUCUUCAGGACCUGACUUUAUGAAACAGAAGCAGCACCAGCCAAGACAUUUUUAGAUGGCCCUUUUGUGGUAAAAAUAAUUUGAGGUUAUUCUAUUCUUAGAAGUUUGGAAGGAAUCUGUUGACAUAUGGCUCUAACAAAUUACAAACACCCCCAAAUUUUUGUUAGGAAAACAUACCGCCAACUGUGAAACGUGUGGCUCAUUACUAUUUGAGAAAUGCUUCUGUAAUAAUUUAAUAAUAAUAAUAGCAAUACUUUUAACUUCUGACUGUUUUAUUAAUACUAUUUACCAUAUCCUGUUGGCUAACUUCACAUUAGAGGUUUCAAAUUUAUAAUAAUAAUAAUAAUAUAAUAAUAAUGGCAUCUAACAUUCACUGAAUGCUGUCCAUGUGCCCAGAAUUGGGUCAGGGGCUUUGUGUGUAUUAUGUCAUAAAAUUGUCAUUGUUUCCAUUUUGCCUAUGAGGAAAGAGACUCUGAGAAGUGAAGUGACUUACCCAAUCAUGGCCACUAUGCAUAGGCUGCAUAUUUCAGUUCCAGCUUUGUCUAUUUUGCAUAUCUUUGCUUUUAACCACUACACUAGAUUGUUUCCUCAUAGAAAUUCAUCAGCAAACUAAGAAAAUAGGGUCUAACUAAGCUAUAUCUUGGAAAAUAUAGACAUAUCCAGUUGGGUAUGACUGAAAUAUUUCUCUAGCAGUUUAGACCACUUGGUAGCAUUUUUUUUUAAUUUUGUGGGAGACAGAAUAAAACAAGAAAAUAUACAGUAUGUUAUGGGAGAAAAUCUUUGCAACUUUGAGGCAAGCAAGGAUUUCUUGAGAUACAGAAAGCUCAAAUAAUAAAGAAAAAAAGUUGAUAGUUGAACUGCACCAAAAAAUUUUAAAUGUUUUUUUCUUCAGGAGACACCAGCAUGAAAAUGAAAGCAAUCUGUGCACUGGGAGAAAAUGUAUAUAGUGCAAAUACCUGACAAAGGACAUGUGUCCAGAAUAUAUAGAGAAUUCUUACAACUCAAUAAGAAACAAUAACCCAAUUAAAACCAUGGGCAAAUGAUUUGAACUGAUACUUUACCAAAGAAGAUAUAUGGAUGGCUGAUAAACAAAUGAAGAGACACUUAACACUAUUAGUCAUAGAGAAAUGCAAAUUUAAACCACAAGGAGAUACCACUACCCACCUACUACUAUAGCUAAAAUUAAAAAGGCUGAAAAUAUCAAGUGUUACCAAGGAUGUAAGAGCAACUAGAAUGCUCAUACGUUACUGGUGAGAAUGUAAAAUGGUACAAUAACUUUGGAAAACGGUUUGGCAGUUUCUUACAAAGUUAAGUAUAUACUUACCAUAUGACCCAGCAAUUGUAGGGUUUUACGCAAGAGAAAUGUGAACAUAUCCAUGCAAAGUUUUAUAGAUUUUAUUUUAUUUUAAAGAUUUUGUAUUUAUUUAUUCACGACAGACACAGAGAAAGAGAGAGGCAGAGACACAGGAAGAGGGAGCAGCAGGCUCCAUGCAGGGAGCCUGACGUGGGACUCGAUCCCGGGUCUCCAGGAUCAUACCCCGGGCUGAAGGCGGCACUGAACCACUGUGCCACCGGGGCUGCCCACCAUGCAAAGUUUUAUACAGAAACAUUCUAGAAUGUUUAUUCAGCUUAUAAGAGUCUCGACUUGGAAACAAAUCAAAUGGCCAUAAACUGUUGAAUUAAUAAAUAAGUUGUGGUACAUCCUUAAAAUAGAAUAUACCAAGAAAUAAAAAUGAACCACUGAUACAUGCAAUAAUAUGGAUAAAUCUCAAAAAAAAAA
rnacentral:lncRNA from 1 species